UUACGGCCAUAUCAUGUUGAAACACCAGUUCUCGUACGAUCACUGAAGUUAAACAACGUCGAGUAUGGUUAAUAGCUAAAUAGGUGACCGCUUGGGAAUACCA